GGGGGGGGGGGGGGGGGGGGGGGGGGGGGGGGGGGGGGGGGGGGGGGGCGGGCUGGGGGGGGGUGCGGGGGGGGGGAACGGGGGAGGAGCGCGUGGGUGACCUGCGCUUGGCGUGGGGAUGACGUCAGGAAACGGGGGCUGAUACCGGAUAGGGCCUCCUGCGGCAGGGUGGGGGUUGGCAAGUUUCGGCGGUUGGUGUUGGAACCGCGGCUUAUCAUCUUGUUGGUGGGUGAGCGGCUUACCAAGGGUUUGCCGGGUAGCCGGCCUGCGAGGGUGACCGGCCACAUUGGGACUGAGAUACGGCCCAGACUCCUACGGGAGGCAGCAGUGGGGAAUAUUGCACAAUGGGCGGAAGCCUGAUGCAGCAACGCCGCGUGCGGGAUGACGGCCGUCGGGUUGUAAACCGCUUACGCCUGUGACGAAGCGUGAGUGACGGUAAUGGGUAAAGAAGCACCGGCUAACUACGUG
rnacentral:rRNA from 1 species